UGGGGAAUAUUGGACAAUGGGCGCAAGCCUGAUCCAGCCAUGCCGCGUGAGUGACGAAGGCCUUAGGGUUGUAAAGCUCUUUUGGCGGGGAAGAUAAUGACGGUACCCGCAGAAUAAGCUCCGGCUAACUUCGUGCCAGCAGCCGCGGUAAUACGAAGGGAGCUAGCGUUGUUCGGAAUCACUGGGCGUAAAGCGCACGUAGGCGGAUGUGUCAGUCAGGGGUGAAAUCCCGGAGCUCAACUUCGGAACUGCCCUUGAUACAGCACGUCUUGAGUCCGAGAGAGGUGAGUGGAAUUCCUAGUGUAGAGGUGAAAUUCGUAGAUAUUAGGAAGAACACCGGUGGCGAAGGCGGCUCACUGGCUCGGUACUGACGCUGAGGUGCGAAAGCGUGGGGAGCAAACAGG
rnacentral:rRNA from 2 species